GUGGCGGUAGCUUAAUAAAAAGUGUAACAUUGAAGCUGUUAAGAUAAAGGUAUUACUUUUUGCCACA
rnacentral:tRNA from 1 species